AUUGAACGCUGGCGGAAUGCUUUACACAUGCAAGUCGAACGGCAGCACGGGGGCAACCCUGGUGGCGAGUGGCGAACGGGUGAGUAAUACAUCGGAACGUGCCCAGUCGUGGGGGAUAACGUAGCGAAAGUUACGCUAAUACCGCAUACGAUCUACGGAUGAAAGCGGGGGACCGUAAGGCCUCGCGCGAUUGGAGCGGCCGAUGUCAGAUUAGGUAGUUGGUGAGGUAAAGGCUCACCAAGCCGACGAUCUGUAGCUGGUCUGAGAGGCCGACCAGCCACACUGGAACUGAGACACGGCACAGACUCCUACGGGGGGCGGCAGUGGGGAAUUUUGGGCAAUGGGCGCAAGCCUGAUCCAGCCAUUCCGCGUGCAGGACGAAGGCCUUCGGGUUGUAAACUGCUUUUGUACGGAACGAAAAGGCUCUGGUUAAUACCUGGGGCUCAUGACGGUACCGUAAGAAUAAGCACCGGCUAACUACGUGCCAGCAGCCGCCGUAA
rnacentral:rRNA from 1 species